AGGUAUGCUUUGGAUGUGAAUGUGGAGAGGGCUGAAGACGUCUUGAUGCACAAGCGAUUGCUGCAUUCUGCU
rnacentral:sRNA from 1 species